AAAAAAAAAAAAAAAAAAACAAUCAGCCUACAUCAUGUCGUCUUUCUGGGUUCGGCCGCAAAAUUCCGUCCACACAUCGCAUGCAAUAUCCUCCAGUCCAAGGCACCGGGAAAAUAUCUCCUUGAAUGCCUUAUCCAGGCCUGACAUGAUGCCUGGUCAAUAUCUCCACAUGCCUCCUCCAUUGCCUGUAAAAGUGCUACCUGUUGAUGAGGAUGACGGUCGUACACUUUCCAGAACUCCUCAAUGGGAUUUACGUAAGAAUGGAGAGUAUGGAGGGAGGUUGAGUGCCAUGAAGAAUGUGUGGUCUGUAAACCAGUUGCGGACCAAAGCAGCCCUAUGGAAACUAACAUUGUCCCAUAUGAUGACAUAUCGGGUAUGCUCUUCAACUCCACAUCCUCUCCCUCUGCCUCCUUGUCCUCUUCUAGCUCCUUCCUCCAACUUCUUCACCUCCACGUCCUUUUCCUCCAACUUCUUCACCUCCAUGUCCUCUCCCCCGGCCUCCUCUGAUUCUCACUCUUCUCACUCUUACUGCUCCUUCCAUUGUACUCCACACAGACAGCGUACCUGUGACUUAUUUAUAGUGCUUAGGCUGAUUGCAAAGUUAACUAAUUUUCUAAAACAGUUUUCACAUGUGAAAGUGAGCCAGACAGUUGGCAAAAUAGUGUUAAUGAUAGCCAUACAUGUGUAUAAUUUUGCUAGGAGUGUGUUGGAAAUUUGGUAAUUGAGUGUAAGCAGUGAGUUGUGUUUAAAGUUCUGCAAAAAUAGUGUUGUGCAGUGAAUUGUGCCUACAGUUUUGCAAACUCAGUGAGUGGUUUUGCUAUACGUAUUAAUAGUUUUAGAAAUUGUGCUACAAGAAUCACGAUUAGCGCUUAAGCAUUCAGAAA